rnacentral:rRNA from 1 species
CGCACGGGUGCGCAACGCGUAUGCAAUCUACCUCUUACUAGGGGAUAGCCCAGAGAAAUUUGGAUUAAUACCCUAUAUUAUAUGGAGUCGGCAUCGGCAUUAUAUUAAAGGUUACGGUAAGAGAUGAGCAUGCGUCCCAUUAGUUAGUUGGUAAGGUAACGGCUUACCAAGACUUCGAUGGGUAGGGGUCCUGAGAGGGAGAUCCCCCACACUGGUACUGAGACACGGACCAGACUCCUACGGGAGGCAGCAGUGAGGAAUAUUGGACAAUGGGCGGAAGCCUGAUCCAGCCAUGCCGCGUGCAGGAAGACUGCCCUAUGGGUUGUAAACUGCUUUUAUACGGGAAGAAUAAGGUCUACGUGUAGACUGAUGACGGUACC